rnacentral:rRNA from 1 species
AACGCGAAGAACCUUACCUGGGCUUGACAUAUACAGGAUCGGGCUAGAGAUAGAGUUCUCCCUUCGGGGACAUAAGUGACAGGUGGUGCAUGGUUGUCGUCAGCUCGUGUCGUGAGAUGUUGGGUUAAGUCCCGCAACGAGCGCAACCCUUGAACUUAGUUGCCAGCAUUCAGUUGGGCACUCUAAGAUGACUGCCGGUGACAAACCGGAGGAAGGUUGGGAUGACGUCAAAUCAUCAUGCCCCUUAUGACCUGGGCUACACACGUGCUACAAUGGAUGGUACAAAGGGCAGCGAAACCGCGAGGUGAAGCCAAUCCCAUAAAACCAUUUUCAGUUCGGAUUGUAGGCUGCAACUCGCCUACAUGAAGCCGGAAUCGCUAGUAAUCGCGGAUCAGCAUGCCGCGGUGAAUACGUUCCCGGGUCUUGUACACACCG